rnacentral:snoRNA from 1 species
AAAGCAGGCUGCAAUUACAGUACUUCAGUUUGUGGAAGUACUGCCAUUAUCCUGCUGAGAGAAAAAGCCAUAUUGGCACAGGC